rnacentral:ncRNA from 1 species
AAUCGUCUGUACAGAUCCCUUUCCGAAAGAUUGCGUGCCAAGAACGACUGCGCGACGAUGGUCUUGUAGAGCGCCGGCAACAAUCUCAGAGGCGGACGCAGAACCACCAUUUAUGAGAACGACGAUUGGCAGCUUUUCAGCCAGGUCGCCUUUCUUUGCGUUGAACCGUUGAGCGUCGUCGGUUCGCCGGGAACGGGUUGAUACAAUUUCUCCACGAUCCAGAAACGCGUCCGAGACUUUGACCGCUUGAUCCAGAAGACCGCCUGGGUUGUUUCG